GGUGGGCGCGCCUGGCGCGGUCGCCGUUCGGACUUCUCCUCCCUCCCAUCAGAGCCCCAGUUAGUCCGCGUCCUGGGGCCGCCCAGCCCCGCCCACGCUCCGGCUUACCUGCACGGCUGAGCGGGAGAGGAACAAGCUCUGCUCCACGGGACGGCAAAAGGCAUGUGACCCUGCAGCAGGGGCUCGCGUUAAGUUUUGCAAAUUUGGAAAUGAAGCACGUGGAGCCUCUCUAUUGGAGACAAGGGGGCGCGGACAGCAGCCGGUGAAGUCGGAGGUGCGGCCCCAGGAGCCAAGUGGGAGCAUCCCUUUGGCCCCCUAAGCCCCAUCCAGCAACGACUUGGCUCAUUCAGCAUUUAUUGGGCUCCAGGGGCUGGGAUCAGAGACGAUCGAGACGCUGUCCCUGCUGGCUGUCAUCCAUUCAACUAGCCCGGACGCCGCGCGGAGAGCUCCCCAAACUGGGGAACCGGUGUGUGGGGCUGUGGAGGCACCUGAGGGAACUCGGCUCAGGCAGAAGCUGCUAAAGGUUUUCUGGAUUCUCCCCAGAGCUCUGAGAAACAGGGUGGAAAGGAAACAGCAAGAUCCUGUGGGACUCUUCAGGUACAUAUCCUUUCUAUGGCCUAUUUCUUAUUUUGGGGAGGGGAAAGAUUUAAGCCUCCUUGACCCUCCUUGAGUUCCAAAGGGCUGGUUCAAAUUGUUGCUAGUCAGGGAAGGGAGAAGAUGCAGAGACAAAGGAGGAGCAGUCAGGAAAGGAUAGUGCAGCCUGGGGGUAGGGUCCCGGUUCCUCCUUAAGAAAUAUGCAUAACAAUAUCUUUUGAGUUCUGGAACUAAGGCCCCCACCCAGGAGGAGGAUGGUAUCUUAAGGCUGAGAGUCAAGUUCCCUAGAACCAUCCCAUUACCUCACCACUGACUAAUCAGAAGAUAGUCAUGGGUGGGGGGUGGCCAAAUGGGACUAAGAUGGCAGACAAGACUAGACCUUGAUCCUCAAUCAGCAAAUGAAAUGACACACCCAGAGGCGCCAUGACAGUUCACAAGACCAAGGAGUGGGCAUGGCCCAACUCCUGAAAAUCUCUACCCUUCUCCAAAAUAGAUGGAAUAAUCCUCUCACUCAUUAGCAUAUGAAAUUACCCAGCCUACAUAAACUAACCAUCCCAUAUUUCAAGCCCAUACUCGCCCUCUGCAAUGGCCCACACUGUCUGUGGAGAGGCCCUUCUCUCUGAAUCUGAAUAAAUCCACUUCUUACCUAUCA
rnacentral:lncRNA from 1 species